rnacentral:rRNA from 1 species
AUGGAGCCGACCUUGAAAUACCACCCUUUAAUGUUUGAUGUUCUAACGUUGACCCGUAAUCCGGGUUGCGGACAGUGUCUGGUGGGUAGUUUGACUGGGGCGGUCUCCUCCUAAAGAGUAACGGAGGAGCACGAAGGUUGGCUAAUCCUGGUCGGACAUCAGGAGGUUAGUGCAAUGGCAUAAGCCAGCUUGACUGCGAGCGUGACGGCGCGAGCAGGUGCGAAAGCAGGUCAUAGUGAUCCGGUGGUUCUGAAUGGAAGGGCCAUCGCUCAACGGAUAAAAGGUACUCCGGGGAUAACAGGCUGAUACCGCCCAAGAGUUCAUAUCGACGGCGGUGUUUGGCACCUCGAUGUCGGCUCAUCACAUCCUGGGGCUGAAGUAGGUCCCAAGGGUAUGGCUGUUCGCCAUUUAAAGUGGUACGCGAGCUGGGUUUAGAACGUCGUGAGACAGUUCGGUCCCUAUCUGCCGUGGGCGCUGGAGAACUGAGGGGGGCUGCUCCUAGUACGAGAGGACCGGAGUGGACGCAUCACUGGUGUUCGGGUUGUCAUGCCAAUGGCACUGCCCGGUAGCUAAAUGCGGAAGAGAUAAGUGCUGAAAGCAUCUAAGCACGAAACUUGCCCCGAGAUGAGUUCUCCCUGACUCCUUGAGAGUCCUGAAGGAACGUUGAAGACGACGACGUUGAUAGGCC